AGGGAUAUGAGGAGGAUGGAGAGAGAGAAGAGGUAGGGUAUGAGGAGGAGAGAGAGAGAAGAGGUAGGGUAUGAGGAAGAGAGAGAGAGAAGAGGUAGGGUAUGAGGAGGAGAGAGAGAGAAGAGGUAGGGUAUGAGGAGGAGAGAGAGAGAAGAGGUAGGGUAUGAGGAGGAUGGAGAGAGAGAAGAGGUAGGGUAUGAGGAGGAUGGAGAGAGAGAAGAGGUAGGGUAUGAGGAGGAGAGAGAGAGAGAAGAGGUAGGGUAUGAGGAGGAUGGAGAGAGAGAAGAGGUAGGGUAUGAGGAGGAUGGAGAGAGAGAAGAGGUAGGGUAUGAGGAGGAUGGAGAGAGAGAAGAG
ensembl:lncRNA